ACAACCAUCCCUAUCGACAAAGUGUUCAUCGAUGGAUGAAUUUUUUGAAAGGGGGGUGAAAAUUUUGCUCGAAUCACCCCAAAAUGAGAGUGUGUGCGUGGCUCGCUGUAUCGCGAUAGAGUUCGGCGUGUGUCGAAUGAAUGUUCAAAAAGGUCGUAGUAGGCUAAAAACUUGUCUGCCUGUUUUCGCUCGGUCGCUGUACAUUUUCAUACGGGAGUAGUUAGUGAAUUGUGGAUUGCGUCAGUUCGUGGACUGUGUAUUCGAUUGUGGAAUAGUGUUUGCCAAGUUGUUCUAGUUCUAUUUCUAAAAGGAUAUUCCUGUGCCGGCACUGGUAAGUUAUUCCGCCAGCGUGAUGGCCUGAUGGCGCAGACUUCGGCUGAAUACGACGAUGCAGAGGCAGGACAAGCUGUUUCAAGACAUUUGAAAAGCGACGCGUGGGGACAUAUGGCCACAGUUAACAGUUAACCUCAUAUCUAGAGGUUUUUGUGUACACAAAUUCAGGAAGCAGGAAGGAUUCAAGUGCCGUAGUGUGAAAUACUCCGUCAACAGAGAAAAACGCGUGUUUUCUUACAACUGCGCCCACGCUUCCCUUUGGCCUACUGCUUCAAAGGUAGGCUACCCUGUACAAUCAAUGCCAUGGCGUCUAACGGAAUCGGUUGAACGUGAAACUUCUUCUUCUUAUUUCAGUUGACAUUCAUACUUCUUGAUGGUUGCUAUCGGACAGAGCGUACGAAUCGCUAGAAGCAUCUUUUCCGCGUCAUUUGAAAGGAACAAAUUAUUGGACAUGCUCGUGAUUAUCCAGUUCUAUGAUGCACCUGCCAAUGGAAGUGAAAGACAAGCCAACCUUAGUAUUGGUUGUUUUUGCUGCUGAUCGGUUCUAAAUCGGUUUGUAUCGCAGCUAACGAUUUUCGAAGAAGUGUCAGUGUCCUAAUCUUCCUUAUUUUCAUUGCUCAACAAACAGGAUAGUGGAAACCGCUUUUGUUAGCACUCUUCAUAGGCGCUGGAUUGGAUUUUUCUUCGCUCUGCUCACAAUGUUCUAUCGCCUUCUCUGAGACAAUGUUCUAUCGCCACCUAGCACCUCUACAAACCGUGACCGAUAAAGCUUGUCGUUGAUGCUCCGUCCAGGAUAACAUACUCCGCCAAAGUUGAAGGUCGGUAGAAUCAUAAACUAACUCAAGAAUCACCGUUCGAUACGAGUUUCCUGCUGAUUUGAACUUUGUAUUUGUUGAUACAAAAUAGAAUGAAAUAUGCAAAAAAUCGCGUGUUAAUGCGGUCAAAAUUAAAUCGAGAUCGCACACGAUACCAAACUCAAAGACACGAUGUUAGUUUGUUUCGAAACACGCUGAAAAUUCCAUUGAAAGUUUUCGCCUGGACCUUUGAUUGAUACAGGAUAUGAAUCUCUUCGAAACUUGAUCUUGGAAGGGAGCAAAUGUCCUUGUUUAUUUUAUGUUUACGUUGCACCGAUCGAAACUGGCCGCGUGAUAAUGAAAAACGACAACAAAUCGUGGGCGGUAUCAUGUGGAACAGGAUUAGAAAUCCCUGGCUAAGCUGGCGCAGAGUACGAGCGUUGAAAAUUGUCCGCUGCCUGGAUGGAAUGGUAUGGUAUGAACUAUGCAGAUAAUAAGAAUAGAAAAAAAAGUAUGAAGCGUAAGAUGAAAAAUAUUGUUACGGGUCUAAAUCAGUACAUGUGAAUUGUUAUCUUUUUACGCUUGCCAUAAAACCAGGAAAAAUAAAAAAAUAAUAUUAUAUUUGUUAAAAACAAAAAAUGUUUUCAUUGCACCGUUGAAAAUCAACGCUGCGGAAAGAACGAUUGAGAAUGAACAAUAUUACAGAGUAAAAAUGAACCUUACGAAAACGCGCUCAUUAAAUCAUGAAUCUCACGCACACACUCUCAAAAAACGGCUUCACAAGAUCUGCUGUGAAGCUUUUGUGAAGCCGCUUGUGAAGCCGUGAAUUUUACUCGAAAUUCACUCUCAGGCGAGCAGUUUGUCGAUAGGGAUUGCUACCACCAUGCUUAUCUUCUUUGAUUUAUGGCUUAUUUUCAGCUUCACGCAUCUUAUACGCUUUCCAACGCUCGGUGUGAAUGGAAAUUAUCCGGCGCAAUCUUUUCGGCCCCGAAAAAGCGCAUACAUAAUGUUGCUUUUGUCCUUCCUGACCGGUUGCACGCUUUACGUUAGAGUCGUGAAGUUAUCAUUAACAUAAAUUACUUUUAGAUUAGGCAGUGGUGUGUGUGUAUGUGUGUGCCGUUCCUUUCGCAACUUGGUCCAACCUUCUGUGGGGCUUUAUGCUACUAAUCACCAUCUCCAAUGUAACGAAAUUCGAAACCAGAAGUUCCAGUUCGUAUUGGUGGCCGUGCUUGAAUGUUAGAGUGGAAAGCAUUAAGGAAAGUUUACGUCAAUCGUGCUUCGUACGGAGCAUUUAUUUUGGAACACAAAAUCUGACAGACAUUAAGGAUGAAUUGUAGCUCGUAUUAUUUCCUUUUGCUAGCUUUCUAUUUCGAUCGAUAAGAUCUGGUCCAUUUUGUUUACAAUUUGAAGCAUUUUGUUUCCUAAAUUCGUUUAUUCAAUCUUCUCGAAAUGUUUUAAAAACUUCCCCUCGUAAGUGGCACUUUACCGUUAAGAGCCAGUACAAGUCCCUCUUACAUUGAGACACACCUUGGCCCUACUUAAUAUCGUCAUCAAUUUUCUCUUACUGUAUUACUGUACGCUCCGUCCUCCCUUUGCGAUGUUAUCAAUCCACAAAAUGCCCUUACACUGUUCAACACUCCAUUAGGUUUACGGUUUGCAUUCUCGCAGUGGUUAACUUUCCGUCCGAUUUUACAUUUUCCGGUGACGGGCAUGGAACGUUUGAAAGCACGCUGUGUUCGACGGUUCGAUAGAGUGAAACGCCCGCAGGAAACGUAGUUUAUCAAGCUCAAUUACCUUUCCGUUACUGACAACUCUACGGUUCGACUAUUUGCGAGUUUUGGGUAAGCAUCUGUGCCGUGCGUCACAUGAAAUGGUCCUUUUCCGAGGAUAGGGCCUAUCAUUCAUUCGUGCAUGUGUAUGUGUAAUUGGUUUUUUGUAUACUUCCCCGAAGAAACUCAUGAUUAAUUCUGUGCAAGAUAUUUUCGUACUGACGCAAAUGGUUGAUUCUGUGCUUUUAGCAUUGAAAUGGUUUUAAUUUCCGUACUGCAAAUAAUAAAUUGGGAUAAACUCACAUUCAACUGUGGAGGCGUUUUUGGAUAUAGAAGAGUUUCAGAGAAAACGGAAACAUUCUACAUGAGCCUGUUGUACUUUUAUACAAAUUCCUAUUAUAACAAUGUGUUUGUUAAUUAUGUGGUAUGUUUUAUAUAAACAAGUGAAGCGUAUUUCUUUUGUCCUUCAGUAUUGCAACUCGCCUUGAUAGACCCGCAGCUAAAAACUGAACUUCAAUUCUUUUUUUUGUCUCUUUCAAAAGUUUUUAGAUUGUUUUCUUUUUGCUUAAUGGAGAACAUUGCGAUAGUGUUUUCAGCUCUAAUCCUACGCCGUUUUGGCAUACAUAAAAAUUUAAAACUCUUCUAUGACGAGUAAUAGAUUUAUGUGUCUUCUUUCAAAACAUUUCAGAAGUUUACAGAUUUGUCGUAUUUCGAAGUUUUUAGACGAAACGCCUCAAUAAGUACCACAAACUCGAUUUUUCCACAGCACUUCAAAGUAAGCCUUUGAACAAACUUUUUUUUGUAUUUCUUAACAUUUUUCUUUGGAUUGAUUAUGAAAUAUGUAUGACAUUAAGUGGACACACUACCUGUUCAAUAUAUGAAUAUAUUUCCUUUUCCAAAAAUAACCUUUAUUUUGAGUUUCUAAGCGAUAUUUCUUCCUUUGAGAAAAGAUGCUAUUUGAAUUUAUCGAUAAAUUAGCAUCUAAAAAGGGUUUUCCAAAAUGAGAUAAAAUAUGAUUUUCCAGCUUUUUUUCUGCUGCUAAAUGCCUGAUAAAUAAUUUCUCUAAAUGUGGACAAAUCUUCUAAGUAAACCCAUAAACGGUUAACUAGCAAAGCACUUGGGAUAAACUUUCCCCGACUAAAGCAUUUUUUUCCAACCCAAAUUGUUAUCCUUUUUCCAAUGAUUAAAUUGACUGCCGCGGGCUGCCGACCAGCAGCCAAUAACACGGACAGUUCCGGCUAACCUUGACAUUUUGGGAGCUGGUAAUAAAAAAUACGAAUUUCCCAAAAAAAACCCAAUUCAUUAAGCUAAAACUUUUGCUUCCUUUCAAGCGUUGCAUACCUUUCACUGCUGCAACCGGUUGAGAACGACGAAAGUAGAGAUGGAAAUGCGUUCCUUUCCGUGGUGAAGGAUAUAAACGCAAGUAAAGUUUUCCCCUUUUUGGUGAUUUUUUUCCCCGCUGCUCGAAUAGCCUAUCUUUCUUCCUUGUGCAUGGUUCGUCGUUUCUCAUCUCACUAAAGGUCAGUGCCAAAUAUCUUUCGUUUGGGAUGUGAAAAAGUUUUUUUUUCCUAUCGGGUUUCUGUGUUCAUUUUUUGUUUUAUUCGUAUGCGCCAAAAGGGGUUCUGGAAUGUGCCAAACUUUUAAACGGUGUUGAUUUUAGCAGCAUUGCCUUAAAAGUUUUAUGCAUACAAUAGCCACCGUGGGCUAUCAAUGUUACGUGCACUGUGCAAAAAGUUACCUGCAGCCUAAAACGUUUCAUGAUGCGGUGUUUUAAUAGCACACUUUAGAUAACUUUUUUCUUUAUUUUGUUCCAAACUUUAAACUCAAACUCUUCCGUGUGAUAGAUUAUUGUUUAAAUUUUCAAACUACAAAUAAUAAAAGUUUAGGACACAUAAAACUAAAGUCACCCACUCGAACACAGCUUUCCAAUUACCACCUGUUGCGGGUUUAGUUUAGGGGAGCUAUUAAUUAUUUUACUACCAUCAUAAAUGUAUGAUAAAACAGAAAUAAAAAGCGAAUAAACAUCCUAGCGUUCGUGAGCACAACAAGUUAACCAGUGACCUCACAUAAUUCCACGGGUUGAAAGGUUGCAUCGAGUCUAAAGUAGUUGGCAUGUUCAUUAAAAUAAUCCAUCCUGCGCUUGUUAAGGUACAAAGGUUAAUAAUGAAAGUUUGAAAUUGAAAGAGCUCGAAAAACAAAAUCUAGAGUGUUGUUUUACAACUUCUCAACAGGCCAUUAUAAAGUAUAUUCCAUGUUUUUGGAGUAUAAUUUUUAUAGCUUUAUGGCACGUAUUAUUACUUUUACUCAUGUCUCUUAGUUAGUGGUAGAUACAUUUUAUGAGGAUUUUUUGUUUUUUUUUACGAAGUGAGAAUCAUUUUCAUCAUUCUUUACAACGUAUCGUAUUGGGUCACAAUAAAGAAUAGUAAAACAGUGUAAAACACACGUUCAGCGGAGUAACACAGUAGAAUGAUGGAUUUAAAAUUAACAUUAAUAAGGGUAACAUUUGUCUUCAUACUGAGCAGUAAAAUAUGUAAGUAAAUAAUUAAGAACACAAACUUUCGUUAGUACAAUCAAUUUUUUUUUAUCUGGCAAGAGGUGCUUUAAUAACAUAUAAGAGACCUAGACGAAUUUGGAUUUUCCAGGCAUAGAUUGACAUGGAACAUGGAACAAUCGUGUUCUGUUGUCAGUGUAUGUAACAAUACCUUAUUGAUAUGGGUAUGGAUCCGAAGCCCAUCCUAGGAUAACAUAGGCACUCCAUAUCUCUCCAAAUAUCUGAGCUUUGGUAUACGGGGAAACCCAACCCCUUGGGAAGAUGGGUUAUAUGCCUAAAUUGAGCGUCUUUUUUCCAUGUUAGGGGUGGCUGGAUGUUGCUUCUCCUAUGCCCCUGGCAUCCUAAGGGACUUUAAAGAGCUAGGAUGAGUAGGCCCUCGGACGGGACUGUGAUUUGGAGGAGAGGCCUUGCAAGCCACCUCCAAUACAAACGCAACGAAAGGAUACCAACAAGAAGAUGGAACAAUCGUCAAUUGAGCUGCCCAAAAUUAUUUCCAAGUUAAAUAAUUGUCAUAUUAAAUUCAUUUUCAUAUCCUAAUGAGUUUUAAUAUUACAUCAUUGCUGCAAUUUUGUCGCUAAUACAAUUGUAGUAAUUGUCUUACUCUAUAAGUUUUUCCUGGAGCAAAAAUUUUCUUAUACUUUAAAAUAUAAGGACAGUCAUAUGGCCUGGCCGUCCUAAUUGGGACAAAAAAAAAUAUAUAAGGAGCGGUUAUGAUCCCUGUAAUAGUUUUAAUGAAGGAAUAAACACUGUCAUUCUUCUGUGCUGUAAUGGUUCAAGUGAAAAUAAUAAAUAUAUAAUCUGGUAAGAAGGGUAGGACGCAUGAUUUUUCUGAAUGAUUUCUAGUCUAUCUAUUCGCUCUUGUUGUUGAGAAAUUAUGAAUAUACUAGCGAAUUUCAUUAGGGGCGCACUAAUGAACGAAACAAUGUUUUUCAACAGAAAGGGUCAACUAAGUUAUAACGAGUUUAAAUCCGUUGCAGUCGAUAUAUAAAGAACUCGCUAUAUGGGACGAUCUUUCGUAGGAAAAGUGUGAGAAUCCCUCCCACAACGAAGUAAUGCUCAAUCAGAGUAUGUGUAUCUCAUAUAAUUGUUGAAUAUUACAACAUAAAAAUGUUUUGAUAAUAUUUUUUUAUUAUUUUUUUGUAUUCAUACAGAACGGCCUGGCCGUAUUGAUAAAAAUAAUUUAUUCAUGUUAAAAGAAAUUUGUUUUUGUCGUGGUGAUAUGGUCAAUAAUUCUAAUCAUUGUUUUAAUAUUAACCGAAAUUAAGUAAUAGCAUUUUUCUGAUACACGCCAUUUACUCUUAAAGCCACUGCAUCAUGAGAAUGUUGCUUGUUGUGAAUAAGUAAUAUCCGAUACUGUUAACUCUUUCCAAGUGCCUUCAGUUUAACGAUGUUUUUUUUAAUUUUCUAUUGCAGUAACUUUUCCAUUCUCAGCCAGAACUUCAUAAGUUUUUCGAAAGAUGCUACUUUUUUGUGUCCCGUUGAAAGCCCCUCAACAUUAUUGAUUUUAAUUCCGAAUACUAAACUAUAGGCCUACGUAACAAGCUCAUUAACGGGUUGUUGAAAUUGUUCCGAGUAGCUUCUGAAUAUUCCAUAUCACAUCAAAGUUUCUUCAAUAAUGGUACUUCCACACCGAGCUCGUUACGCAAAAAAUGCUCGUUACGCGAAAUUUUGCACGAAAAAAAACAUUUUCAUUGGUUCGCUAUGCGAAAGACUCCUUCAGAGAGGUACUCAAUAUGAAAGGAUUAACUAUAUCUAUAACUAUAACUAUAUCAGUUUGUAAUGCUUUGUUUGUAAAGCUAAAAUUAAAUAACCCAGAUCAACCUUCAUCAUAUUUGUUUGAGAAAUACAUCAACUCCAUUAUCACACUUGAACGUAUACGAAAAGAUCAUUAACGAGUUUUCAAUGAAUAUUAAACAUGCUAUAAAAGUAACGCCAUUAAGAUAAAUUUAAAAACAAUUUCACAGCAACGUUGUGCUGUAUUGGGAAAAUCUCGAUAUCAAUGCAAAUAUGAAAUUGGAUUGCGAUUCAACCAGGCCGAAGUAAACACAUCGAUUCUUCGAAGGUUAGCUUGGUGAGAAAUUACAUUUCCCUACAAACGGUGCUUUCAUGCUGAGCGCGUUACUAUGGUAACGGUGUGCUUUUCCAUCGCCCACAAUCGUGCCCUGUAGGUGAGCUUAUCUACGCGACACCAACACCAUCUUACAAGCGCAUUGCAUAUUUAUCACCCAAUCAGCAAAAGCAGGAGUAAAAAGGAAUUUACAGUCGACGUUCGUAGCGAUCAUUCCUUUCGUUCUGCUAGCAGCGAGACAUUUUAUCAGAGAUUGAUAUGUUACACCAUUCCAUGGGAAAUAAAUUUUUUCCCCGUGCCCGGUAUUUGUUGCUUCCCGGUCGGUUUGCUGGUUGGUUGGUGAAUUUCGAUUCCAGGUUCACCACCAAGCACGCGAGCAGUACCUGGAAGAAUUUUCUUGCAAAAAUUAGGUCAAGAAAACGAGCCGGAAAAUUCUUUCUCGAAGGAGAAUACAAAAAAAUGUUCCGCACAACCUGCACUGGAACACGUUUCUGCUUUCUUUCCUGUCACAAAAAAAAAGCUAAAACGUUGCAUUUUCCAUUAGGCAAAAGGAACGCGAAAAAGAACAUGAGGCCACAAUAUAGCAUGAGAAAAAUGCAGUUAAAAGAGAAUCGAAAAAAACACAUUCUACUAAAAGAAAAGAAAAAAAAAGCUUUUGUAGAUGGUGGAAAAGUUCCUACAAUUUAUGGUUGUGUCCUACGAAUGUAGAGCGAGCGUGGCAAAACGAGCAUCUCCUGUUUGGUUGUCUGCUGCCGAACAUUUCCCAGCGAGUGUGCUUUGGUGCUCGUUACGGACAGGUUUCUGGGGAAGUUUUCCACGUGCAUCACGUACAAUGAUGGGCGGUUAUGGUUAGCAGAUGCAACAAUAGUAGUAAAACUACUCGAACGGAUGAAAAUGGAGCUUAAAAAAAGGCAAAAUAAUUCAGUGAAGCAAAAAGAAAAUGACACUUUUUCACCACGAUGCUAUCACGAUUGCAUAUCUUUCAGGCGCAAAACGCGAUGUGCAAAGGAUAUACCAUCCGUGACCUGCUUAUUUCUGCCGCUUUCAAUCGGUUCGUUGUGAGGACAGUCGAGAAAGGUGCUAAUAGGUGGUACAACAGAGAGGGGAAAGAAAAUUUACCACUGCAAGUGGAAACUGUCAUAGUAAGUACCAUCAAACGCUCGUACAGCGAAAAACGGGGAAACGGGAUACAGGUUAAGUCUUUGUCCGUUGCUUUCUCAAGCCAACCACAGGCAACUUUAUUUACAUGUUGUGUUGUGUUUCGGUUACCCCGUGGCAUCUAGCGCGCUGAGCUCGCUUAAAGUCAACAGAACCACGGCCGGUAACACUCAUGCAGGCGGAUGACUCUGUGUUUGGUUUUUACGAGGUGUCUUAAUUUAAACUACAACUCGUGCAGCAACUCUAGCUUCAACCAUUGCUGAGCUUACCGUACGACCACUACAGCAAGAUGAGUUGCUCAUGCUGAUGCCGCUCCUUUUUGAGUGAAGCUUUUACGUAACACUGGCAGCGACAGUUUCGUUUCAUUCCAUUCUUCAAGAUGGGGUGUUUUUUGGUGCGUUUUUGAUGAAGGCUUGAGUUGCCCAUUUUCAAAUUAAUUGUUUGCACGAGCAAGCUGGUUGCGGUUUGCAAGCUUCAAGUGGCAAAUAGUGGAAUUGGUGCAAUAUGGUGCUACAUUCGCUUUUUUGCGAUAGUGUAAAACAGUCACAAAAGAUUUUAUGCCUUCACAAGCUUUUAACGAGGAUGAUGAUAUAAAGAUUAGACGGAAGUGAGUGAGUACUUUGAUAUUUAACAUUACGUUUUAUAGAGGUAGUUUCUUAGAAUGAGCUUUUUAAUUGCUUUUACUAAAGUGCAAUGCGGUUUUAACUCAACUAUAAUCUGAGGCUGUUGCAUAUGUAAAGACAUGAAAAAAUAACUUAUUGAUAGUUUAUUACACUUCUGAAUUAUUGUAGAAAAAAGUCUUCAUAUAUUUUGGAUUAAGAACAGGAAAGUUUUUUCAUAUUUUUAUUCAAAUUAGUACUCGUUUUAUGAAAAGCUUUCCUUCCAUAUUUUUUAAAGAUAAAUUAUGGAUUAUUUUCCAAAAUAUUUUUUAGUCAAAAUCCAUUUUCGGUUCAUAACAGGUUGCGAUAUAAUUUCGUAGCUAAUUGUUUUGUUAGUAAAAAAUAUCAUUCUAAAAUUUGUUUGAAGCAUAAUAUGUCGUUUCAGCGAAGAUUUAUAGUCCAUGAAACGCAACACACAUUCAGCUGAGACGAUGUGGGUUUGUAGUGGUUGGUUCAAUUUUACUUUGUGAGAGUUUUGAUUUUUGAUGCUUAAAAUGAACGACAUAAAACCAGUUUUCGUCGUCUGGGACAAACCCAUGUAAAAACGAAUUCCUUUGAAGCCGAUGAAAAAGCAUUUCCCAAAAGGUUUUUGAGGUGCUCCAUUUACCUUCAACGAUAUUAAAUUAGUCCCUGAGAUACAUUUAGUGCUUUUGACAAAUUUUGAUGUUCUUUAAUUGGGUCUAAUUUUCUAUUUUCAAAACUCUUUGCCCUUCAGCUUUACAAUAUUUAUCUUGAAUUUAUGCAACCAUCUUUAACAAAUACCACUAAUACUUUAUUCCUGGAACGACACUCGACUUGUUGUACGCUACGUACUGUAAUAUGUUGAAUCUCAAAAUUCUAAUAAAACGAUCACAUGAACUCAACUCUGCUACGCUUGAAACAUCAAUGGGACAACUUCAAUUUGUACAGCUGAUGUUUAAAUAAUGGCUCAGUUUAUUACUGAGCCAAAGAGAGAUUAGGAAACCUCUAAAUGUGAUUUUUACUAGAUAAAAAUUUAAAACGUAAUGUUAAUCCUCGUGAAACCCUCAAUUAAAUUUCUUAUUUUAUUCACUACCACUAAUGAUGUGCCGGUCGACCCUAACCUAUUGGGUUGGAGCCAUCCAUAAGCGGCUUUAAUCGGUUCGGGUGGACUCGUAGAUACCAAUAGGUUCAAUAGGUGUUACGAUUCCGGUAGGUGCAAGCUCCCCUAAGCGACUCUGACCCGUGGGUGCAGCAAGUUCGCGUCGGGACUACCUAUAUUUACGGGUCGGCACCGAAACCACUGCAUCCACGAGUUGGAGUCGAUUCCGAUUCUGUUCCACACGACUCCGGGUCGAGCCGUAAGAUGAAUCAUUUUACCCAUCGCCACCUUAUACAUCAUUACCCUAAGCGCUACACAAUGUUUACUUAUAUGUACAUCAAUUAAAAUUUAACCCUAAAACUAAUCCUAGACUUACGAACACAGAGGAAUACCGUAAUUUGAUCGGUCAAGAUAAAACAAUGAAAAUAGAAAGAAAAACACAAACAAACAGUUGAACAGGAUAUACAAGUAGAUAGAUAAAGAAGAGAAACUAUAGACAAAUAAUAAAGAAGGACGAGAAUAUGAAAAUAAUAGUAUAAAU